rnacentral:rRNA from 1 species
GACGAACGCUGGCGGCGUGCUUAACACAUGCAAGUCGAACGGAAAGGCCCUGCUUUUGUGGGUUGCUCGAGUGGCGAACGGGUGAGUAACACGUGUGUAACCUGCCCUUGACUUUGGGAUAACUUCAGGAAACUGGGGCUAAUACCGGAUAGGAGCUCCUGCUGCAUGGUGGGGGUUGGAAAGUUUCGGCGGUUGGGGAUGGACUCGCGGCUUAUCAGCUUGUUUGUGGGGUAGUGGCUUACCAAGGCUUUGACGGGUAGCCGGCCUGAGAGGGUGACCGGCCACAUUGGGACUGAGGUACGGCCCAGACUCCUACGGGAGGCAGCAGUGGGGAAUAUUGCACAAUGGGCGGAAGCCUGAUGCAGCAACGCCGCGUGCGGGAUGACGGCCUUCGGGUUGUAAACCGCUUUCGCCUGUGACGAAGCGUGAGUGACGGUAAUGGGUAAAGAAGCACCGGCUAACUACGUG